rnacentral:rRNA from 1 species
UGGGGAAUUUUGGACAAUGGGCGAAAGCCUGAUCCAGCAAUGCCGCGUGUGUGAAGAAGGCCUUCGGGUUGUAAAGCACUUUUGUCCGGAAAGAAAUCCUUGGCUCUAAUACAGUCGGGGGAUGACGGUACCGGAAGAAUAAGCACCGGCUAACUACGUGCCAGCAGCCGCGGUAAUACGUAGGGUGCAAGCGUUAAUCGGAAUUACUGGGCGUAAAGCGUGCGCAGGCGGUUUGCUAAGACCGAUGUGAAAUCCCCGGGCUCAACCUGGGAACUGCAUUGGUGACUGGCAGGCUAGAGUAUGGCAGAGGGGAGUAGAAUUCCACGUGUAGCAGUGAAAUGCGUAGAGAUGUGGAGGAAUACCGAUGGCGAAGGCAGCCCCCUGGGCCAAUACUGACGCUCAUGCACGAAAGCGUGGGGAGCAAACAGGAUUAGAUACCCUGGUAGUCCACGCCCUAAACGAUGUCAACUAGUUGUUGGGGACUUCAUUUCCUUAGUAACGUAGCUAACGCGUGAAGUUGACCGCCUGGGGGAGUACGGUCGCAAGAUUAAAACUCAAAGGAAUUGACGGGGUCAUAGCUGUUUCCU